AGUGAACGCUGGCGGUAGGCCUAACACAUGCAAGUCGAACGGCAGCACAGAGGAGCUUGCUCCUUGGGUGGCGAGUGGCGGACGGGUGAGGAAUACAUCGGAAUCUACUUUUUCGUGGGGGAUAACGUAGGGAAACUUACGCUAAUACCGCAUACGACCUACGGGUGAAAGCAGGGGAUCUUCGGACCUUGCGCGAUUGAAUGAGCCGAUGUCGGAUUAGCUAGUUGGCGGGGUAAAGGCCCACCAAGGCGACGAUCCGUAGCUGGUCUGAGAGGAUGAUCAGCCACACUGGAACUGAGACACGGUCCAGACUCCUACGGGAGGCAGCAGUGGGGAAUAUUGGACAAUGGGCGCAAGCCUGAUCCAGCCAUACCGCGUGGGUGAAGAAGGCCGUCGGGUUGUAAAGCCCUUUUGUUGGGAAAGAAAUCCAGCCGGCUAAUACCUGGUUGGGAUGACGGUACCCAAAGAAUAAGCACCGGCUAACUUCGUGCCAGCCGCCGCCGUAA
rnacentral:rRNA from 1 species